GCAGACACAUUCUAGUCAAUCGGCAACAGACCCUCCCUCCCAGACCCUCCCACCUCCUGGACAGCAUCCAUUUUGAAGCUGCAUUCUUAGUGAGCUGUCCAGGAGGUGGGAGGGUCUGGGAGGGAGGGUCUGCUGCUGAUUGGCUGGAAUGUGUCUG